UACGAAGGGGGCUAGCGUUGUUCGGAAUUACUGGGCGUAAAGCGCGCGUAGGCGGCCUUGUAAGAUGGGGGUGAAAUCCCGGGGCUCAACCCGGGAACUGCCUUCAUGACUGGAAAGCUAGAGGAUGCGAGAGGUUAGCGGAAUUCCGAGUGUAGAGGUGAAAUUCGUAGAUAUUCGGAAGAACACCAGUGGCGAAGGCGGCUAACUGGCGCAUUUCUGACGCUGAGGUGAGAAAGCGUGGGGAGCAAACAGG
rnacentral:rRNA from 1 species